CAAGGAUCAGCAAGUUCCAGCCCCUCCUGCCACAAGCAGAGCCACCAAGCUCCAGAUCUGGUAUUAGACCAGGUGCUGGGAUCUGAGGCUGUUUUGGCAUGCGGAGCCCAACCAUGCCACCUCCUGGUUACGGAUGGCCACUCUAUUCCACACAUUAGGCAGCUAUCCUCUGCUAUUCAGAUGUAAGGCAUUCUGCAAGGAAAAAGCACUUAAGAUUAUGAAGACACACCAGGCAAUCAUAUCACAAUAAAAUAACUAUUCGUUUUUUUU